rnacentral:rRNA from 1 species
GAUGAACGCUGGCGGCGUGCCUAAUACAUGCAAGUCGAGCGAACAGACGAGGAGCUUGCUCCUCUGACGUUAGCGGCGGACGGGGGAGUAACACGUGGAUAACCUACCUAUAAGACUGGGAUAACUUCGGGAAACCGGAGCUAAUACCGGAUAAUAUAUUGAACCGCAUGGUUCAAUAGUGAAAGACGGUUUUGCUGUCACUUAUAGAUGGAUCCGCGCCGCAUUAGCUAGUUGGUAAGGUAACGGCUUACCAAGGCAACGAUGCGUAGCCGACCUGAGAGUGUGGUCGCCCACACUGGAACUUAGACACGGUCCAGACUCCUACGGGAGGCCGCAGUAGGGAAUCUUCCGCAAAGGGCGAAAGCCUGACGGAGCAACGCCGCGUGAGUGAUGACGGUCUUCCGAUCGUAAAACUCUGUUAUUAGGGAAGAACAAAUGUGUAAGUAACUAUGCACGUCUUGACGGUACCUAAUCAGAAAGCCACGGCUAACUACGUG